GAUGAACGCUAGCGACAGGCUUAACACAUGCCAGUCGAGGGGCAGCACAGGUAGCAAUACCGGGUGGCGACCGGCGCACGGGUGAGUAACGCGUAUGCAACUUACCUAUCAGAGGGGGAUAACCCGGCGAAAGUCGGACUAAUACCGCAUGAAGCAGGGGUCCCGCAUGGGGAUAUUUGCUAAAGAUUCAUCGCUGAUAGAUAGGCAUGCGUUCCAUUAGGCAGUUGGCGGGGUAACGGCCCACCAAACCGACGAUGGAUAGGGGUUCUGAGAGGAAGGUCCCCCAAAUUGGUACUGAGACACGGACCAAACGCCUACGGGAGGCAGCAGUGAGGAACAUUGGUCAAUGGCCGAGAGGCUGAACCAGCCAAGUCGCGUGAGGGAUGAAGGUUCUAUGGAUCGUAAACCUCUUUUAGAAGGGAAUAAAGUGCGGGACGUGUCCCGUUUUGUAUGUACCUUAUGAAUAAGGAUCGGCUAACUCCGUG
rnacentral:rRNA from 1 species